rnacentral:rRNA from 1 species
AUUGACCGGCCAGAGACGCGGGGCAGCCUAUCAGCAAUGAAGGAGGAAGAAGCUGCUUUUUGAGUCAUGCGAAGGGGAUACAGUAGGACCUGCCCAGUGCCCGGGAUAAUCUCGGAACGGAGACUAAAACCGGAUAGGUAAGAGGACCGCAUGGACCUCUUAUUAAAGGAGCUACGGCUCUGAACAUGGAUGGACCUGCGGUGCAUUAGCUAGUUGGUGGGGUAACGGCGCACCAAGGCGACGAUGCAUAGCCGGCCUGAGAGGGCGAACGGCCACAUUGGGACUGAGACACGGCCCAAACUCCUACGGGAGGCAGCAGUAGGGAAUUUUCGUCAAUGGGGGAAACCCUGAACGAGCAAUGCCGCGUGAGUGAAGACGGUUUUCGGACUGUAAAGCUCUGUUGUAAGAGAAAAAGGGCAGACAUAGGGAAUGAUGUCUGAUUGAUGGUAUCUUACCAGAAAGUCACGGCUAACUACGUGCCAGCAGCCGCGGUAAUACGUAGGUGGCGAGCGUUAUCCGGAAUGAUUGGGCGUAAAGGGUGCGUAGGUGGCACGUUAAGUCUGGAGUAAAAGGCAGCGGCUCAACCGCUGUUGGCUCUGGAAACUGGCGAGCUGGAGUGCAGAAGAGGGCGAUGGAACUCCAUGUGUAGCGGUAAAAUGCGUAGAUAUAUGGAAGAACACCAGUGGCGAAGGCGGUCGCCUGGUCUGUAACUGACACUGAAGCACGAAAGCGUGGGGAGCAAAUAGGAUUAGAUACCCUAGUAGUCCACGCCGUAAACGAUGAGAACUAAGUGUUGGGGGAAUAACUCAGUGCUGCAGUUAACGCAAUAAGUUCUCCGCCUGGGGAGUAUGCACGCAAGUGUGAAACUCAAAGGAAUUGACGGGGGCCCGCACAAGCGGUGGAGUAUGUGGUUUAAUUCGAAGCAACGCGAAGAACCUUACCAGGCCUUGACAUCCCCGGCAAAGACAUAGAGAUAUGUUGGAGGUUAACCGGGAGACAGGUGGUGCAUGGUUGUCGUCAGCUCGUGUCGUGAGAUGUUGGGUUAAGUCCCGCAACGAGCGCAACCCUUGUGAUAUGUUACUAACAGUAAGAUGAGGACUCAUAUCAGACUGCCGGUGACAACCGGAGGAAGGUGGGGAUGACGUCAAAUCAUCAUGCCCCUUAUGGCCUGGGCUACACACGUACUACAAUGGCGGCUACAAUGAGCGGCGAACCCGUGAGGGCAAGCGAAUCUCGGAAAGGGCGUCUCAGUUCGGAUUGAAGUCUGCAUCCCGACUUCAUGAAGUUGGAAUCGCUAGUAAUCGCGAAUCAUUAUGUCGCGGUGAAUACGUUCUCGGGCCUUG